CUUAUUAACGUAAGUAAUAACACACACGUAUCGACACAUACGCCGGGGUGCCUUGGGAAUUCGUUCUGCAGGGUCGGUUGUAUGGGAUACGUGGAGGCAUAAC
rnacentral:sRNA from 15 species